rnacentral:rRNA from 1 species
GACGAACGCUGGCGGCGUGCCUAAUACAUGCAAGUCGAACGAACCGCGACUGAGUGCUUGCACUUGGUCAAGGUGAGUGGCGAACGGGUGAGUAACACGUGGGUAACCUACCUCAUAGUGGGGGAUAACAGUCGGAAACGACUGCUAAUACCGCAUAGGACAUAGGAUCACAUGAUCCAGUGAGGAAAGGUGGCGCAAGCUAUCGCUAAGAGAUGGACCCGCGGUGCAUUAGCUAGUUGGUAGGGUAAAGGCCUACCAAGGCGAUGAUGCAUAGCCGACCUGAGAGGGUGAUCGGCCACAUUGGGACUGAGACACGGCCCAAACUCCUACGGGAGGCAGCAGUAGGGAAUCUUCCGCAAAGGACGCAAGUCUGACGGAGCAACGCCGCGUGAGUGAAGAAGGUCUUCGGAUCGUAAAGCUCUGUUGUUAGAGAAGAACAGCGCAUAGAGUAACUGCUAUGCGUGUGACGGUAUCUAACCAGAAAGCCACGGCUAACUACGUG